UCUCCGUUGGUGAACCAGCGGAGGGAUCAUUACAGAGUUAUAAAACUCCCAAACCCAUGUGAACUUACCUAUGUUGCCUCGGCGGAGCCUACCCGGUACCUACCCUGUAACGCUCCGCCGGUGGACCUUUAAACUCUUGUUAUUUUAUGUAAUCUGAGCGUCUUAUUUUAAUAAGUCAAAACUUUCAACAACGGAUCUCUUGGUUCUGGCAUCGAUGAAGAACGCAGC
rnacentral:misc_RNA from 1 species